rnacentral:rRNA from 1 species
UACGGAGGGUGCAAGCGUUGUUCGGAAUCAUUGGGCGUAAAGCGCGCGUAGGCGGCUCUUUAAGUCUCACUGUGAAAGCCCGGGGCUCAACCCCGUGCGAGCAGGGGAUACUGGAGGGCUAGAGACCGGUAGAGGCCAGCGGAAUUUCGGGUGUAGCGGUGGAAUGCGUAGAGAUCCGAAAGAACACCGGAGGCGAAGGCGGCUGGCUGGGCCGGGUCUGACGCUGAGGUGCGAAAGCGUGGGGAGCGAACAGG